GGGUCAGUAGGUUGGUCGUGCCACCGGUACGUACUGGUCUCACUGAUUACUCCUUCCUGAAGAACCGUAAUGCCAUUAAUUUGGUGUUGCGGGGAAACAGGACUGUUACUUUGAAAAAAUUAGAGUGUUUAAAGCAAGCUAACGAUUGAAUACAUUAGCAUGGAAUAAUGAAAUAGGACGAUCGAUCCUAUUUUGUUGGUUUCUAGGAUUGACGUA
rnacentral:rRNA from 1 species